ensembl:snRNA RNU6-242P RNA, U6 small nuclear 242, pseudogene
GUGCUCGCUUCAGCAGCACGUAUACUAAAAUUGGAACAAUACAGAAAAGAUUAGCAUGGCCCCUGUGCAAGGAUGACAUGCAAAUUCAUGAAGCACUUCAUAUUAAA